rnacentral:rRNA from 1 species
AUUGAACGCUGGCGGCAUGCUUUACACAUGCAAGUCGAACGGUAACAGGUUAAGCUGACGAGUGGCGAACGGGUGAGUAAUGCAUCGGAACGUGCCCGGUCGUGGGGGAUAACGCAGCGAAAGCUGCGCUAAUACCGCAUACGAUCUAAGGAUGAAAGCGGGGGACCGUAAGGCCUCGCGCGAUCGGAGCGGCCGAUGUCAGAUUAGGUAGUUGGUGGGGUAAAGGCUCACCAAGCCAACGAUCCGUAGCUGGUCUGAGAGGACGACCAGCCACACUGGGACUGAGACACGGCCCAGACUCCUACGGGAGGCAGCAGUGGGGAAUUUUGGACAAUGAGCGAAGGCCUGAUCCAGCAAUGCCGCGUGCAGGAAGAAGGCCUUCGGGUUGUAAACUGCUUUUGUACGGAGCGAAAAGGUCUCCUCUAAUACAGGGGGCUCAUGACGGUACCGUAAGAAUAAGCACCGGCUAACUACGUGCCAGCCGCCGCCGUAA